rnacentral:lncRNA from 1 species
UGAUUUGUGUGGAUAGGAAAUGAGAAAGGAUGAGAAAAAAUCGAAACUUUAUGGCAUUAACACUCUCAAUUUGGUAGUUCAUGGUGGUUGAGGUAUUGAUGUCAACGGCAAAGUUGUAAAUAUUUGGUGAAGAUGUGGAUGGUAAGGUAAAAACAUUAUUUUCGAAAAAAAGAAAAAAAAGUAAUGACAUUCUCGUGAAUAAUUAGAACUUCUAGGGUGUAUAGGACAAAACAAAGUUUCAAAAAAACAUAGGUUAUUUUUGUGUUUGAAAGAACCCCAAUAAACUUUUGUUAAUUUUUUGGUUUUAUUAUUUGCGUAUAAUAUUUUAAUUCUAUGAAAAAAAUUAAGUUAAAAUAAAUAUUUUUAUUUACAUUUAUAUUUAAUAA